rnacentral:misc_RNA from 1 species
CAGAAUUUUAAAGUAACCUGAAUUUUCAAGUCAGGAAACAUUCUGCAGGUCUAUUGGUAAUACUAUAGAACCAUGAAGUGUAUUGUAUUAUUGCACGCAAAGUUAGUGAAGGAUUCAAGGUGUUAAAAAAAGCGGAAAAUUAUGGCAUGGAAAAUUACGGCAUAUUAACAUUAUUAUUUCUACAACAAUUGUAGUACACAAUGCCAUGGAAAUUAUGGCAUUGAGCUACAACUCUAUUUGUACACAGAAGAUCCCAUGCAAGGAUAUCAAUCGACUAUCAAUCACAGAAACCCUCCAUUGUAUCAAGGAGACAACCAUCUUGGGCAAUAUGCUUUAGGUCAAUAACAUAGUUGUCCCGAAGAAACCCAAAACCAAAUGUCCCAUUCUCGUAUUGCCAAAUCCUUCCCUCAACAUGCCAAGGAUUUGCAGAACCUCCUGCCAAACCUGGGAUGACUAAAUCAUAACUUGAGUUGAUGUACAUAAUGCGAGAGACCACCUCAUAAUGCAUGUCCUCUGAUGUCAUGGACAGAUGCUGAUGUAUGCGGCUCCUGUACAGAUGUUCUUCCUCAGGUGAAAAUGGAGACACAAUAAAUACAGGACUUGAUGUCCAGAACACUGGUGUAGAACUAGAAAGCGGUUCAGACAAGUCCCCAACCCUUCGGCAAGAGAUGCCAACCCCAUCAUAUGUUACAAGAUAGAAUUCCAACUUCAUAUCAUCACAAAUUCCCUUCCAUAAUCCCUGCAAUGGCCGAGCUGGCGUAGGCGAGGAAUCAACAAUCCUCAAGAAAUGUUCUGUCGCCCACUUCUUCCUCCCCUGCUUCUCUUUCUCUCUCCUCCUCUGCCUCCUCCAGGACCUAUCUGCUCCAGGACUCAUUCUAUUCGCAUAAUAUUGAUACAACUCCGAAGUUUCCGACAAGCUCCCCGGAGACCCACUUUCUAGCCCAUUACUCACAUCCUCACCAUACUCCCCUUUCAAAUUCGUCGCACCUGCACUCCUUGAAUAAGCAAAACCCACAUUCUCUUCCACAGUAAGAUGCAUAUCCCCGAUAAAAUUAACGUUAACCGGAAUCAAAUCCAUCUCCAAGAAUCCCAAUUCACCAGAUAGCCCACUGUUAUUCCCAUCGGGAUCAAGGUAAUUUAUAAUUUGACCCUCCGGUAAUAUGCCCAUCCAAAGGAACGGCGUUUUGGUUACAUGAUAUGUACCAUUUUGAGACGGAGAGACUCUAGUACCAGAAAGAAACGACGGACCCCACUCGAAGAAAACUAACGCCGGAGGUUUCACACCGGCGGAUUGCCUAUGUUGACCGUGGCCGCACCGGCGCCAGAAACCAAUCAGAUUCUCCCAUUUGUUGAGAGUUCUAUAGAGGAGCUUGUAGGAGAUUUUCCCAUUACCCCAUUUCUUGAUUUGGGUCUUGGAUCCCCACCGCCUAUCACAAAUUGCGUACCAGAGCUUGCUGUCGUCUUGGCAGAGUGGAGAGAAUCGCCUCGAUGUGCAAGCGAAAAUGGCAACCUCGGUUGGCGUUAGGAACGAAAGGAUACAGAGCUGGACGUCCUCGGGGAAAUCAGAGAAGGAAUAGGAAUUCAUUUCCGUCACCUGAAAAAAGUCUGAUUUUCUGGAAAAGUGCUUUUUGGGAGAGGGAGAGAGAGAAAUAAAGGAAAAUGGGAGAUUCUUGGAGAGGAGGGAAUAAUUCUGAUCCGCUAAAUUUGCAAGAUUAAGCCGCACAAGCUUCGAAGUCAGGACAGGGUUAUGCAGUUCAAGUGCUGUCGUGUUGGUGACAAAUAUGUAAAUUCGAGCAAUUUU